UACGGAGGGUGCAAACGUUGCUCGGAAUCAUUGGGCGUAAAGCGCACGUAGGCGGACCGCUAAGUCGGAUGUGAAAGCCCUCGGCUUAACCGAGGAAGUGCAUUCGAAACUGACGGUCUUGAGUAUGGAAGAGGGUCGCGGAAUUCCCGGUGUAGAGGUGAAAUUCGUAGAUAUCGGGAGGAACAUCAGUGGCGAAGGCGGCCUUCUGGUCCAGUACUGACACUCAAGUGCGAAAGCGUGGGGAGCAAACAGG
rnacentral:rRNA from 1 species